rnacentral:rRNA from 1 species
GACGAACGCUGGCGGCGUGCUUAACACAUGCAAGUCGAACGGAAAGGCCCUGCUUUUGUGGGGUGCUCGAGUGGCGAACGGGUGAGUAACACGUGAGUAACCUGCCCUUGACUUUGGGAUAACUUCAGGAAACUGGGGCUAAUACCGGAUAGGAGCUCCUGCUGCAUGGUGGGGGUUGGAAAGUUUCGGCGGUUGGGGAUGGACUCGCGGCUUAUCAGCUUGUUGGUGGGGUAGUGGCUUACCAAGGCUUUGACGGGUAGCCGGCCUGAGAGGGUGACCGGCCACAUUGGAACUGAGAUACGGCCCAGACUCCUACGGGAGGCAGCAGUGGGGAAUAUUGCACAAUGGGCGGAAGCCUGAUGCAGCAACGCCGCGUGCGGGAUGACGGCCUUCGGGUUGUAAACCGCUUUCGCCUGUGACGAAGCGUGAGUGACGGUAAUGGGUAAAGAAGCACCGGCUGACUACGUG